GUCAGGGUAACUCAGCUGGUAGAACAGAAGAUGAAAUC
rnacentral:tRNA from 1 species